UGACACCAUACAGAGAACCUGGGCACCUGC
rnacentral:piRNA from 1 species